CUACGGGUUGCUGCAGUGGGGAAUAUUGCACAAUGGGCGCAAGCCUGAUGCAGCAACGCCGCGUGAACGAAGAAGGUCUUCGGAUCGUAAAGUUCUUUUCUUAGGGAAGAAAAAUGACGGUACCUAAGGAAUAAGCACCGGCUAAAUACGUGCCAGCAGCCGCGGUAAUACGUAUGGUGCAAGCGUUAUCCGGAAUCACUGGGCGUAAAGGGAGCGUAGGCGGUUUUGCAAGUCAGAAGUGAAAGGCUACGGCUCAACCGUGGUAAGCUUUUGAAACUGCAAGACUAGAGUGCAGGAGAGGCAAGUGGAAUUCCUAGUGUAGAGGUGAAAUUCGUAGAUAUUAGGAGGAACACCAGUGGCGAAGGCGACUUGCUGGACUGUAACUGACGCUGAGGCUCGAAAGCGUGGGGAGCGAACAGGAUUAGAUACCCUAGUAGUC
rnacentral:rRNA from 1 species